GUUUUAAAUUGCGGUCGUUAAAAAAACGCUCUUUUGCAUGUGCCUGUCUAAUGCGUAUAUUAAAAAUAUUAAAUAGGAUGGAUAACUAUUAAAUAAUGUGUAGAACGUAAAUGUAAAGGAAUCGGGAAACCUCGGUCGUCAGGGGUGGAGCGGGACCGCACCUGGCUGAAGCAGCGUCGUCGAUGGCGGCGGCGCGCGGGUGCACGCUCGCAAGCGUCAGGCGCACGCCGCCCAGGCCCGAGACGCGCAGCUCCUCGGCCAGGGACUCGACCAGCCCCUGCGCGGCGAACUGGGCCGUGCGAAGCGCCACCCGCUCCCCGGCGCCGGCCAGCCCCGCUGCCGAGGACAGCACCGCCACGUGGCCCCGGUUCGCCGCCCGCAUGCGGGGCAGGAAGGCCUCCAGCACCUGCCGCCAGCGUUUCCCCAGGCAGCACUGUUCUGCUGACCGACCGAAAAGUAACUACGCAACAGCCUGGUACAGCAACAGCCAACCCAAGGUACACAGGCCAUUUUUAAACCACCAAGAGGCUUGGACAGCGGACCGUCACAAUAACAGGUGGUGAUUGACAACUCACACAUGAGCUCCACUCGGCAAUGCCACAAACCUUGAGCUCUGUUCUGUGCAAAUGACUAAAGCAAUCAACAUGUGAGUGUAUACACUUUGUCAACCACAUUUGUGUGUGUGUUGUGAUAACAGUAAAGCAGAUUUCAUCAUGGAAGAACGGUACUGCUUCCACUUGAGUGUUCUAAUUGUACAACUACUUACUAUGAUCAUAGAUUUUAUUUUUUAUGAAUUCCAAUAUACUAAAUUCCUAAUGCAUAUACCACUAUCAUUUAAAUUGUAGCAAUGCUAGCAGGGCCAAAUUCUAUUAAAUAUCCUAUUCUUUCUUUUUUUUUUUUGUAAAAUUGCUUAUUUUUUUAGGAAUCCAAUAAAUAAAAAUUUUAUAAAAAAACCCAACAAGGGCUAGGUACUACAAAUUUCUGUCAAAAAAAGACAGAAUCCUUGAAAUUAAAUCCUGGCUACACCACUUAUUUCAAGUGUAUCUGUAAUUAAAUGAAAAAUGUAUGAUUUAUUUUAGUACUAGACAUUCAAUUUUUACAGUAAUGUUUAAACACAUUAAGGGAACCCUUUAUUAUUUAAUACUGAGACUCAAUUUUGUUUAUCAACAAGCUUGUUUAGGCAAUUCAAACAGCUUUUAAAUGCAUGAACAAUCCACUACAAUAAGCUUACCUAUGCCUUAUUAUGUUAAAUAUGUAUUAAUGAUAAUUAAGAUGCUCAAGUCAGCCCAAAUACUGCAUUUAUGCUCCAGCAGGUGAUGCCCUAAUGAAUAAUGAGCUCAAAAGAAAGCUUAAAAUGGUUUCUUCUUGCCCUCCAUGAGCUGAGGGAGAAAAGUUUUAACACUAUCCAUGCCUGCAAUCUAUUUAACUGUUUGUCUGAAAAUACAAUUUUAAUAGACAAGUGAACCUAAUAUAUUUCACCCAUUAGCCAUGCUCCUUGAUCAUUGAAAUUGACAGACUGUGACUUACAUAACAGUUAGAGAAUUUUUUUUUACCAUUACAUAUUUCAAUGAAGUUACCUACCUUAAAAAUAGACACUUAAAAGUUAUAAUUUUCUACAUAAAAUUAUAAUCACAGCUUAUUUUUAUUCUUCUUCAAGAAAAAAUAUAUGUAACUUGACAUAACUUCAUUGUUUGUAUAUGUUCCUAUAUAAUCAACGGCUUGGGUCUGUAUACAAACAUUUUUUUUAAACAACACAUACAGAUGAUUUGAUGAAAAUAACACAAACAGAAAAUAAAUUUUACCAACCUGUCUGGUUUGCAGUUUAAAAAAAAAAAAAAAACACUACAACAUUUCCGUGUCAACUGUACAACAGCAACCUCCUGCACUCGCUCCGGGGAGACUGACGGGAGUGCAUUGCUCGCUGUAUAAAUAAAACACUUAUGGCGAAACCCCGUAGAAAGGCUGUACUACUUAUUUUUGACCUUGAACGACCCUGUUGCCCUACUUACAUUUCACAGUUACGCGCCACCGCUCAGACCUGUCUGAAAGCGCCGGCUUCCUUUUCCCGGUUAAUGGAAAGUUGAGCAAUAGUGUGAUGGCCUUCGGCAAAAUAUGAGAAGCAACCAACUGUACAAGGUGAUUUUUAUAAUAGUUACAUUUAUUAAAACAUCAAUAUUUUAUAAGUAUAUGUAUAAAUAUGCACGCAGUAUAAGUACAUGUGCAAAUGCAUGUAAAUUUGUAAACUAAACUCAUGAAUGUAUUAACAGAAACAGGCCUUUUUUUUUUUUUCCACAUUUAACUAAGUAGGAUUGAGCUAGCAUUUCUUUUUAUCAUAUACAAAUCUUAUUGUUGAUAAUCAAAUUAUUAAUCUUUGAGCUAGAUUGCAGGACAUAAUGGAAAUCUUUUUGCUAGCGAACAAUUGCAUAAAAAUAUCUUGAGCCGAAAAAGAUCCUAAAGCCUGUAUCACAUGGUGGAAGGUUUCAUACAGCUUCCAGCAAAACUGCUGGCCAAACCUUACAGUCCUGGAUGAAAUAUACCUUAUAUUUGUACUUUCCUUAAUUUUUUGAAAACAAUAUUUUCGCAUUCAAUAUUCAUACUAAUUUUAUUUUAGUUAUUUGAUCUUUAUUACAUCUUUAAAGGCUUUGACACUGUCGAAUUCUCUUUUACAACACCUUCCAUUAUGUCAUGUAAAAUAAAGUCGAAAAGGUUAUGUCACUAGGACAGCCAUGUUUGUUCAACGAGCAGGAUGACGAUAUUCCAUCAAAUAUUGUGCAUAUAGGACGGGUUAUAAAAUAUGUAAGAUGUUGGAUGUAAUCAGCUAAUCAAAAUGGUGUCUAUCGAAAAAGGAAAUGACAUCCAUUUCAAUCACAAUUAUUCUUUAAAAUGGUGAAGACUACAUGGCCUAUGAAAUGGUUAUAAAAGUGAAAUAACUACAAUAAUGUUAAAAUGAAUGUCAUAUGAGAAAAAUAUGUAUGUGUGAAAAGGAAAUUAUAUUUCUAAGACUUAUAAAAAAAACAUUUAUAGGUACUACAGCAUUAGUUCAAAAUUUUCAUUUUGUUGGCUUAUUGUCAAACAAUUAAAUCUUAAUUUUAAGCCAAAACAAACUGCCAUCGCCUGCUGUCACACGAAUGAGGCCCGGGGCGAUCUUAGUGGACCACUAGGCUCGUAGACCACUUGAGUGCUGAAUUCCCUAGCUGUGGCACUGCUAGACACUCCCUGCUUAUCCCAGUGUGCUGUUACUUAGUACUCUCUCAUGAAACUGGAUAAAUAAACGAAGUGGUUUUCACGCGUGACUUGUUUUUCUCCCUGUGCUAAUGAUUAUUCUUGUCAAUAUUAUGAUGGUUUUCUCCAUGUGCUUCUGAUUAUUCUUGUCAAUAUUUUGAUAGUUUUCUCCCUGUGCUAAUGAUUAUUCCCUUGGUUUCUCCAAGUGCUUCCAUAUAAUUAGUGAAUUUCUGCUACUAAAUCAGCACUUGCAAUGUUUUUUACCAUGUGUAAUUCAAAAAAUAAACAGCCACUACUCAGUCAAAUAAUAAGCUCUGAGACAUCUGAGAAACACUAACAGGAAUGACGAACUUCCUUUCCUUGGUAUCUAGCGAAGCCAUUCUUUUGCGAUCGUUGGUGAGCAUCCUGUAUCCCACAUAAAAGAACUAAAUAUUAUUUACCUGCAAGCAACACAUGGCGUCAUCUAUUGGCAAGAAUCGUGACUACUUACAACAGGUUAUUUUUCAUGAGAUAAAUUGACUCUCACCACUGAAUGGUUCUAUUGUAUUCAGUUAGAGCCAAGUAGUCUUGUAGUCGCAUUGCCUUAUGUCCUGGAUGCCUCGUAGUCCUGUAGCCUCGAAAACACAUAACCUUGUGUUCUGGAAGCUUCGUAGUCCUGCAGCCUCGCAGUAUCGUAACCUUGUAGACUCGUAGUUGCAUAGUCUCGUGUAACCUCAUGGCUUGUAGUCACGUAGUCAUGAUGCCUUGGAGCCUCGUAGACUUAUAGCUAUGUAACCAAGUAGCCCUAUAAUCUUAUAACAUAAUGCUACUGAAGCAGUUGGAGCCAAAGAGAAAAUUCCGCCGAAGACAUGUAGCAAUUGGAGCCUUGUAGACUUGUAGCUUCGUAGUCAAGUACACAUCUAUACAUGCAGUCCUGCAGUCUCGUAGCUUCAUAGCCUCCUAGUCUUGUAGUCAAAUAGUGCUACGCCUAAGACUAUUUGGAGUCAAAUACUUUUGACAUAAUUGAUUAUUCAAGCCAAAAUACUUUUGGAGUCGUAGACUGAUUAAGCCAAUGACUUUUGGAACUAAAAACUGUUGAUUUAUAGACUGUUGGAGAAAUUAUAUCCUAACUUAUCAUUGUCGAUCGCAUCGUACCGAUUUGAAUGUACGUGAGAAUGCACCUCCUUUUCGUUUAAUGCGCUUUCGUUUUGUAGAAUUUCCAUCCAAACGUGCUUCGUUUUAAAUCCUUGACCUGUGUGAAUGAAGCGUAGUCAAUGCGUGUAUUGCGCGUAAAUUGCGUGUAUUGUGCGUACAUUUCGUGUCAAUUGCGUGUUGGAGCGAAUGGAGCUUUGGUGCUCUUGGAGCACUUGAUGCUGAUGGGCAAUUGGAGCAAUGGAGCCAAAUGAAGACGGAUCUGAAGGCGUGAAUUUUAGCUCUUGGAGCCUAAUAUAUAUUUGUGGGAUCGAAUUCAUGAGACGAGAGCGUAUCACACCGCAUCGAAAUUUUUUGAAUAUAUGUGCUUUUUUAAAUGUUUUGACUUAAGUAUUAUAGUAAAUGGUUCAUGAUUUGACUAGCGUAUUAUUCCAACGGGUGCAUGUAUAUAAGCUUGUCCUAGACAAUGGGUCGCUCAGUUUGUUACUGUCGUCGAUGGUGUAAGGAUCACCUAGUUUGUUUCUUCUGGUGCAUAAGUCGCGUAAUUACCAGUUAUUGUGUACUCGAUGGCAUCUUUACCGUCUUUAACGGCGAACUCGAUGGACGUUGUACCAUUGUCUGCGGGAACCCUGACGUUAGCGAUGUCUAAGAUGGAGCAGAUCCCGUUGGCAAAUACGUCGUCAACACUGGAGGAGACUUCAGCAGUUGUGGUACCAGCAGCAGAAGAGAGCUUAAUGACUUCAGUACUGGCUGCACAGGAAACCUCGACGGACGUCGUUUCGCCGUCGAUGGAGACUUUAAUGUAUGGUGAUUCGUCAACAACUAACGAACAUCAACAAUACUCGGUGACAUGAGAAGAGAGAAUGUGCUAAGAACCUUUAUAGUAAAAUGUUUGGUUGUAAAAAGUGUCGCAAGCUAUUUACAAGAAAUGCUAAUUUGAAGCAACACUUGGAAACAUGCAAAGGUCCUGCUGAGCGGCAGAAAGUAAAGGUUUCGGUGCAACAGCGAAUGAUUGAUGUACAUAAGAGUAUACCUGGAAAUGGUACAAUUGCAGUAACAUCGACAUCUGGUUCGGGUUCGUCUUCAUCACCACGAUAUCCUUGAUGCUACUGCGAAAUGACGUUUGCAUUUGCUCACGAUGUACGGAGACAUUAGAGGAGUAAAUGUACGAAGAAUCCUUCUCGCAUGAAGUUUCGCUGUGAUGAGUGUCAUGAAUGGUUUACUAGAAUUUAUAAUUUGCGUCAUGCAAAAAACUGUAAAGAUGGAGUCCGUGUGGCUACUGUUGAACUACCUGCAGAAAUUUCUUGAGUGUACAGGCAAACAAACAGAUGAGCAGCAACCGAUUGGUAUGACGUCUGGACAUGAAACGAAACCUAAGACUGUGAUCGGUACUCUACAGGUGAAUGACAAUGGCUUCUACUUGGCACAGUCUGCAUUUCGUGGAACAUCGAAAGACUACUAUUAUCUAAAUACGUGUAGUGAUUCGAAAGACAUUUGUAAUUUUCUUGACGAUAUCAGACAGAACAUAAUCAGCUUACUGUGCCGUCGCCCGGGUUCUCGUGUUCGAGAUCCGGCGGUGUUCCUAGUGGGAAGGCUGUUUUCUUGCGGAGAAACGUGUCCGGGAGGGAGCCAGGCUAACUCGGUGGUUAACCACGAGGUGGGUCGGUGGGUACGAAUGCCCCUGCGUGGCCCACUAGGAACAGCGGCAGUGGUCGUGAUGUUAGGGGUCCCUAAUGCCUGCUGCACUACUGGCCCUACACAGCAUAGGACACUGAUCCCUAACUGGAUUGGGGAGGUUCACAAAUAAUGUACACGGUUUUGCACUGUCGUUUACACGUCGCACACGGAGUGUGCGGAGUGGAUGUUUAAUUAACGUUGGCAAUUACACUUGCAGUUACAGUCACACGAUUUCCCUACAUAAAGUACACUAUCAUUAUACACUGGGCGCUCUGAUGCGCCGUCACUAAAAUUACGCCCUCACGCCAGUCGAGGUUGAGGGGGAGAGUUUGAUUGGAGUCGGCCAAUCCCGUAAUUUGCGAACAGCGACGCGCGGGCCCACCUGUGUGGACCGCGGCUCUCUAUGAAAUUAAUUAAAGUCUUCAAUUAGAUGUGGCCAGUGCCUGUGCACUCGGCAGUUAACUGAAAGUAUGUUAUGGCGGGAGUCAGCCUGUGCCGUAUAUUGCACUGCCCCGCGUAAUGCAUUGUGCAAGGAGUGUUAUGUUUACGCGGCUGGGAUAGGCCCUACACCUUAAAAGGACCGGGCGCACACGGGGAGUUGAUUAAAAAAGGCUUUGGGUGCGUGACUAUAUUUACCAGAAUGAAUUCAGUGUCGACUAUGGUUGAUGUCUCCCCGUGGGACGCACGUCCGUCCCGGUCCGCGAGUCGCUCGGUACUGGCUUCUGGCCCUGGCGAGAGAGGAGGGGUGAGCAUCCUCUCGCGCCAAGGUUUCUAAAGUUCCGUUAUUCGUAAAAUAUUAUAUUAAUAAAAAGAAUUAACAAUUAACUUUGACGACAGUCGUCGUACCCUCCCAGAUACAGAGGCCGUACCUGGCCACCGACGCGGGCCUGAGGGGGCCUAUUUUCCCCCCCAGUGAACCCCAGUGUGUGCGACGGCCAGGGACGCACCCGCGUGCGCCCUAGCAUGCCAACGAGUGUUUUUUCUAUGUGACUUUAUCUUUUAUUUCAGUGUGUAUAUAUUUGUAAACGAUUAAGGGAUUUGA